CUUUGAUAGUUUUCAUAGCACAAUCAAGGGCCCCACUAUAAGGUGGGGCCAUACCGGGCUCCACCUUCAUGUUCAUGACACGUGUCUUAAUCACGUCAACUGGAUUCGACGCCACAGCCGCCACGAACCCCGCGGCGAAGCUCGCAGUCACGUGGGUCCCAAGCCCGUCCUUCAUCAGCCCCUUCUCUAAGAUCGUCUCUUUAAACUGAUCGUACGAUGCCAGCUGUGAUGCUGUAACGAGCAUAGCGCGGUUCACCGUAAGAGAUGAGCCGCGCCACAGGCUAGUAAUCCCCUCGCUCUUGCUCAUUUGCGUUAUAGCAUCAACGACGCUUUUGUAGUUGCGCCGCUGAGCUAACGGGAGCCGGCCGUCAGCUUGCAUGCGGACCAUAGCAACGUCGGCCGGGUUUCCGACAGCGGCUCCGAUACCUCCGGCGAUAAGUCCGGCGACGAUCUUUCUCGACAAAGGCAUGUUGUUAGUAUCCGGAUCGGUCCACUUCUGCUUCAACAUAUCGUACAACCCCAUCCGGGUAGUAGAAUAAAGCGUCUGCCGGAGAACUGUCGCCGACACGCCGGAAAAGAGAGCAGCAACGCCUUCUUGCUGAAUGAUCUUUACACCCACAGCAACAGGCCCCACACGAGGCGGAGGUGGCGGCGCCGGGACAUGAAUAUGAGUCGUAGCAUGAGUACCACUAUGAAAAGCAAGUGCAGGACGGAGAUUCUGAACCGCCGCCGCCGGAGCUGGAGUUUCGCCCUGAAGUUGCAUCCGUACCUUGAUUAAAUCAAGUGGGUGAGUACUACACCCAGCAAUAAUUGAAGCAAUACCUCCUUCAACAAAUCCUUUAACACCCAUCUUUCAAUAAUCGAAAUCGAAAAUUUUGGUAUUUCAAUUGAAUGAAAUAAAUGAAUUAAAAAAGAAUUAAGAAAUUGAACACUAGAACAAACAAAAUUGAUAUAAAAAUGGAUCAAUUUAAGACCAGUUGGAAUUAGAGCUCAUCUCACUGGAAACCAGGAGAUGGGAAUGAAGACCAAAAGCUAAAGAUGCGAAGUGUGGAACGUUGGGUCUCUGAGACAUAAGCAGUAAAGAAUGAAUUGGUGAGUUGAGAAAGAGGUA
rnacentral:lncRNA from 1 species